UGGGGAAUAUUGCGCAAUGGGGGAAACCCUGACGCAGCGACGCCGUGUGAGGGAUGAAGGCUUUCGGGUCGUAAACCUCUGUCGGGAGGGAAGAACCUUCUAAGUCCUAAUAAGACUUGGAACUGACGGUACCUCCAAAGGAAGCACCGGCUAACUCCGUGCCAGCAGCAGCGGUAAUACGGAGGGUGCAAGCGUUAAUCGGAAUCACUGGGCGUAAAGCGCGCGUAGGCGGUCUUUUAAGUCGGACGUGAAAGCCCUCGGCUCAACCGGGGA
rnacentral:rRNA from 1 species